UUUCUAAGGUUUAACCAGAUGGGCAGAUUCAACUUAUCAUUAAAGUUGCAAGUUAUAUUUUCAAGGAAUGCAUUAGCGAUCCUGUUUGUGCUAAAUGUCCAUUAAUAUCGAGGACUGAUGAUUGCAUGUUAAGACCAAAUUUAAUGCGUGUGUACUCUAAUAUGGAGAAUUCAGGACAUAUCACUGCAAGAAACACAGAAAGAAAUGCAUUGCAUGUAGUAAUAAAAAUGACUGAGCCUCCUUGGCUCUUCAUAAAACACCUUGGAUAAUUAUUGUUGAACAAUGUUGAAUCCACUGGCAGAUUUACAUUGGCAUCAGCCAUGUGAUAGCAAUUGGGCUUCUUACUUUGUGAACCCCAUCCUUCCAUACCAAUCGUCCAAACUCAGGCAUUAUUUGCCGAGAUUUUGUGGUGAAGGUUAUCUUGUAAGAAACUUUCUCGUUUUUGGAGGUGAAAUUCAGGGUUCUUGGUUCAACUUUAACAGUUGCACCAUUGAAUUUAGAUACUACUGCAUGGUAUGAUGAAACUGGAGGACCAACAUUGGUAACUGUUCUGUGAAGAGUCAAAAAAGAAAUGGAUGUAUUGUCUGGGAACACGACUGAAAUAGAUGGAUAAUUCAAGUCCCCUGGACUUGCAAGAGAUUUUUGGCAUUUUCUGUUUGCAUACUUGCCAAAAACUUUCAGCUGCGUUGGUGAAAGUCCUUGUGUGCAAAGAAAUUCAAAGUAAUCUUGGGCUUCAAUGUCAUAAAUCAGACCUGGGUCUAGAGCUUUCAAUGGAUUUAUGUGCCCCGCUCCAUGAUCAUAUGGGCUGGAAGGAGCAUUCACGGAGGCAUCUUGCAGUGGCUUUUGGGUAUUAUCAUGAACAUAAGCUGUUGUCAUCAGAGCUGAUUUAAUUGCUGCUGGACUCCAUUCUGGAUGCCUAGCCUUGAGCAACGCUGCAAUUCCGCUUACAUGAGGGCACGACAUGGAAGUUCCAGACAGAAUGUUAAACCUCACUCUACGAGGAUCUGUGGGCAAACCUGAUGGGCCUGUAUCACCAGUCCAAGCUGCGAUUAUGUUCACGCCUGGCGCAACAACAUCAGGCUUCAGAAUCUCAAGACUCAAGAAGUUUGGUCCUCUGGAUGAAAAUGCCGCAACCACUGGAGAUGGCCUAAUUCCUAACUUUGUACCAAGAGAAGCCAGAGUUGCUGUAGCAUUCCUACUUGUUAAAGCAUAAUGUUUGAUCAAUUUCCCUUCUCUUUCCCCCACAGCAACUGCUGGAAGUAGGUGACAAUCGGCAACAAGUUCUUCUCCAUUUGCUGCUGUAUUUGAUAAAAUCAUGCCUACUGCUCCUGCAUCUUUCACCACCUGGCCCUUUUGGACUCUUGGACUAAUACCACGGUCACAUAUCACAAUCUUUCCAGAAACAAUAUGUGGAUUCAGAGUUCCUUCCAAGCACAGAGAACUUGGAUCAGGACUGCUAGAGUUAGCACCCAUGUAAACCAGAGGAUAUUGCCUUUUUGUCAAAAGAUUCCUCCGGCCUUUAUAGAGUGAAACUCCAGUUACAGUUCUGCCGGUUCCCAGGUUGACGAUGGCGGGAAAAUCUCUAUCCAUUGUGCUGGCGCCAACUGUGGUUAUCCAUGGCGAUACGUUUGUGAGGCUGGCAGGGUCAGGUCCUCCAUUUCCAGCCGAGCAUGAAACAAAAAUACCCAUCUCCAUCGCCCCAAAAGCUGCUAUGGACAAGCUAUCACGAUAGUAAGAAGAAACCCCACCACCCAAAGAUAUUGAUAGUACAUUCACUCCGUCAGCCACUGCCCUAUCAAUUGCAGACAUAAUGUCUGAGCUGAAACACCCUCCAGCCCAGCAGACCUUGUAGGCAGCAAUUCUAGCACCAGGUGCCAUUCCUCUUGCUAUUCCAUAAGCGUAGCCCAACAGAUUUGCUCCAUGUACAGGAGAUCCAGCAACAGUAGCUGCUGUGUGAGUUCCAUGACCAUCUUGAUCUCUUGGGGAUUUAUACUCAUUUUGCUCAUUGAUUUUUCCAGUAGUAGCUUCAUAUCCCUUGUAAAAUGCUCUUGCUCCGACAAUUUUUCUAUUGCAAUGGUGUUCUUCAAAACCUCGGCCUGUCUCACAUGUUCCUUUCCAAUAAGCAGGCACUGGAGUCAUGCCUUUGUCAUUGAAGCUUUCACUUUCUGGCCAAAUCCCCGUGUCUAGCACUCCCACUACAACAUCAUGGUCUGCAAUUUUUUGAGACCAGACACUUGUGCUUACUUCUGGUUCUAGCCCAAGGAACACGGGGCUUCUAGUGGUGUGUAGUUGAUAGAUAGUCUCCGGGAAUAUAGCCAGUACACCAUCUGCCUCCUCUAGCCUCUCGGCUUCUUCUUCACUUAACUUGGCAGCAAACCCAUGAAAAGCAGCCUGAUAGCUAUAAAUUAUUCUCUCUUGACGGCCUGCAUUGGCUUCAUUUUCGGAAUUAGACAAUGCUGAUUUUACUUGCGAGGAGUACCAUUCAAGGUGAUUGGAGAAGGAUUCUGGCUUUGCAUGCUUAUCCAUCUGAAUAAUGUAAGUCUUUCUGGUGAAUGGAUUCUUUGAGGUGAGGACAACAUUGAAGGCCAGAUAGCUUGUUAGGAUGAAAAACAGCCAUUUUACAUUGUUUCCAGGCAUUAUUGGUUAAGAAAUUUGCUAUAGGAUGGCAAAGAAGAUGAAAGCUGGAGAGAAAAUUUCAGUGGAGACGGUGGAUUGAGGCUUGAAAUAUCGGAGAUAGAGGGGACGUUUACAAUGUCCUAUUGUGCAGGUAAUUAUGGAGGCAGUUGUUUCAUGAAUGCCAAUUGAAGAAAGGAAAGCAGGCUGGUGGCAGAAUUUAUUAAUUUGGUUAUGGUCCUCCUGUUUUUCUCAUUGACAUUGUUAAUGGGUUCAAUUCUACCGGCGCUUGUGAUCUUAGCAAAUCGCUCUCAACAGGUCACAGCAAAGCAAGAAUGAAAUUCUGAUGGUGAAAAUUAUUUUUGGUUUAGUGAAUCGUUAGCAUGAAUCUUGAUUCUUGAAAUUGUGGAAAGGAGUCAUGGUCUUAUGUAUGCUGAAUCCUUAAUUGCUGAUGGGGUCUUUGUACGCUAGGAUCUUAUCAUGUGGUUCCUACACUAACAGGAAGCAUGUACUACUACUGGUAUCUUACUAAAUUUAACUUGUGCUUAUUUCAAUGUUUU
rnacentral:misc_RNA from 1 species